GAUCCCAUCGAUUAGUGGUUAGAUCAUCACGUUGUGGCCGUGGGGACGCGUGUUCAAUUCACGCUGGGGUCA
rnacentral:tRNA from 1 species